CUUCCGUCCCAUACCCAUCCAUCGGCCUCCUGAUAUGGACUCACUCCAGACACUGCAGUGAGCUCCAGACCUUCAACUAAAUCCCUCGGUCCCCACUGUGCAGACAGACCCUCUGCACUCUUCCUCACCCUACUCUGUGGGUGGUCAUUGGCUUCUACAAGUGGUCUCCCUACAUGCUACAUUGGGCUUCCCUAUAAAAAGGAAGCCUCAAGGCCAUUAACCUGGUUGCAUGGCAGCUGAAAGUAUUUCAAGUGGAUAUUUCAGAUAAAGAAAGUGCAAGCUGCGUCAUAAACUAAAUUUGGAAGGAAAAGAGAUUCCUUUUCUGCCAUAAGAAGCCUAGUCCUGGGAGGCAUGCAGCAUCAUUUCCAGUACAUCCUGUGGGUUAUCAGUCACAAACCCACUCAGAAGAGGAGGGGAAUUUGACUUCACCUCUUGAUGGGGCAUAGCAAAAUCCACACAAGCAUAUAGUAUGCUAAAUAAUAUAACUGUGAUUCAUCCAGAACCCAGAAGGAAAGAACUACUUUAUCAAAAGAAGUUUUAGAAAGAGAAGAUUAGUAACAAUAUGAAAAGAUGUUCAACAUUAGAUGCCAAUAAGACAUUUCAAAUUAAAACAACUAUGAGGUACCACUAUAGACCUAUUAGAAUAAUCAAAAUCCAAAAACUCUAGCAAUAUUAAACACUGAUAAAGAUGUGAAGCAAUAAGAACUCUCAUUGUGAUGGAAAUGCCAAAUGGCAAAGCCACUUCGAAAGACAGUUCAGCAGCAUCUGACAAAAAGAAAUACGUACUUUUGCCAUAAGAUCCAGCAGCUACAGGGUGUAUAUGAGAACUCUCUAAACUUGUGGUCCAGUUUUGCUGUUCAACUAAAACUGCUCUAAAAAAAAUAAAAUCUGAAAGAGAGAGACUUAACAUAUUGUAAAGAUAUCAAUAAGAACACAGCCUACCACUGUCCCCAAGAUAAAAUUAGCACCUUAGCACAAUCUCAUUCUCAACUUUAAUGAGCUCUUAUUUUAAAAUUCAUCUUGAAGAGUAAAAUUUUAACGUAAGACUUAAUCAGAGGCAAAGACCAAAGGGAGCUACCGACUUUCUAGAAUUAAAGGGAUUAACAGCGGUAAAAGCACUUAGAAAAUGCACUGUAACAAGCACUCAGUAAAUGUUAGCUAUUCUUACCAUUGUAUGACUGAAAUAAUGUUACUCCUAAUGCAAUCCUCCUCAAGGUAGGUGAUAAUGAAAAUGGCCAGAGGUAAAAUAUCUGGAGCUACUGUGUAGUGUUACUGUAAUGAAGGAAAGGAAAUAAAUAGCUUAGUAAGUAGAGGGAAAAGUAAAAUCCAGAGGGACAGUUUUACAAUAGAAGAAAUAUGACUAUAUUUGUGUGCUGUUAAUUCCAAUCUUCAAAGAGAUGGAAAUGAUAAUAUGUAUGAGAGUCAAAGGAUUAUUUUCUGGAUCCUUUCCCUUGAUUAGGAAAUGGGGAAUGAGAUAUAUGAGUGCAGAGCACAAGGGAGGGUUGGCCCUAGACUAGCAAGUGGUCUAUCCCUCCUUGAGAGGGAGCUGGCUAGACAGACUCAGAUGCUAGUAGUUAGGAGUGUGAUCAAGCCUACUAAAUCAGAAGCCAG
ensembl:lncRNA